CUGGGCGUAAAGCKUGCGCAGGCGGAUUGUUAAGCAAGACGUGAAAGCCCCGGGCUUAACCUGGGAAUGGCGUUUUGAACUGGCAGUCUAGAGUGCGUCAGAGGGGGGUGGAAUUCCACGUGUAGCAGUGAAAUGCGUAGAGAUGUGGAGGAACACCAAUGGCGAAGGCAGCCCCCUGGGAUGACACUGACGCUCAUGUACGAAAGCGUGGGUAGCAAACAGGAUUAGAUACCCUGGUAGUCCACGCCCUAAACGAUGUCAACUGGUUGUUGGGGGAGUGAAAUCCCUUAGUAACGAAGCUAACGCGUGAAGUUGACCGCCUGGGGAGUACGGUCGCAAGAUUAAAACUCAAAGGAAUUGACGGGGACCCGCACAAGCGGUGGAUGAUGUGGAUUAAUUCGAUGCAACGCGAAAAACCUUACCUACCCUUGACAUGUCCGGAAUCCUGCAGAGAUGCGGGAGUGCUCGAAAGAGAACCGGAACACAGGUGCUGCAUGGCUGUCGUCAGCUCGUGUCGUGAGAUGUUGGGUUAAGUCCCGCAACGAGCGCAACCCUUAUCAUUAGUUGCUACGCAAGGGCACUCUAAUGAGACUGCCGGUGACAAACCGGAGGAAGGUGGGGAUGACGUCAAGUCCUCAUGGCCCUUAUGGGUAGGGCUUCACACGUCAUACAAUGGUCGGUACAGAGGGUUGCCAAGCCGCGAGGUGGAGCCAAUCUCAGAAAGCCGAUCGUAGUCCGGAUUGUUCUCUGCAACUCGAGAGCAUG
rnacentral:rRNA from 1 species